rnacentral:rRNA from 1 species
AGAGUUUGAUCCUGGCUCAGAACGAACGCUGGCGGCAUGCCUAACACAUGCAAGUCGAACGAGACCUUCGGGUCUAGUGGCGCACGGGUGCGUAACGCGUGGGAACCUGCCUUUAGGUUCGGAAUAACUCAGAGAAAUUUGAGCUAAUACCGGAUAAUGUCUUCGGACCAAAGAUUUAUCGCCUUUAGAUGGGCCCGCGUAAGAUUAGCUAGUUGGUGGGGUAAAGGCCUACCAAGGCGACGAUCUUUAGCUGGUCUGAGAGGAUGAUCAGCCACACUGGGACUGAGACACGGCCCAGACUCCUACGGGAGGCAGCAGUGGGAAUAUUGGACAAUGGGCGAAAGCCUGAUCCAGCAAUGCCGCGUGAGUGAUGAAGGCCUUAGGGUUGUAAAGCUCUUUUACCCGAGAUGAUAAUGACAGUAUCGGGAGAAUAAGCUCCGGCUAACUCCGUG